ACACGAUGCAGUUUGCUAAAGUUUUUUUUCAACUUUUCAUGUUGCCUCCCAUAAGUGCCCCCCAUAUUCAGAUUCCACAUAUUCACGUCACAUGCAGUCACAGAAAUUGAUAUGUGUUUUUCAACUAAAUUGGUUCAGUAGAUUCUGAGAAAACAGACAGUCAUUAAAAUAUGCGCGAGCGAUAUCAUAAGUGUUCCCUUUUUGUACCACGUACGUUCGGAACCCUAAAACAAAAUAAACACUCAUAAUGACCACACCAAACAGCACAGUACAUUACAUGGUCGUGUAUAUUAAAAAACAUUUAACCUUACCAAAAACAUGAGUCAUAGACAACACAAACAAAGGCACUUCCUCGUGAGGGCAUAACGAUUACAUCAUCAAAACAACUGACCAAUCUGAACGGUUUGCCAUUACAAUUAUAUGCGUGUAAGUAUAUGGGUAACCUUCGACCAUUAACGCUUUUAUCGGAAGGCUAAAAGCGCACUUAACUUUCGGCCAAAUCAUCGUUGUAGUAUAUGUCAACAGCCUAGACUGUCAAUAGAUGAGUCUAUAAAUACAAGCCUCGGUCAAGAGAGGAGUUAGUUGCACUUUGGUGCUACAGCAGGCCGGGUCAACUCUCGAACAAAGUUUGGUUAUACCUACGGGGGCUAGACCUGUGGUGUCAUCAUCCAUACGGUUCUACCGUCUGGUAGUUGUAGCAAUAUUAUUAUCGUUAGUAGCUCACGCCUGACAUAAUAUUUUGAUAAAUCUAAUACAUUUUUAGAUUUAAAUAUGACUUUAAUAACUGAAUAAAUACUUUUCUUCUACAAAAAUAUAGAGAGACACUCUCGUUGAAUAUUGUUUUAGUAACGUAUGGGUAAGAUUUUCUAAACGAAGUGUGGCAACCCCAAUUACUUAAUAAAAAAUAAAUAUGUUAUAAAAUGAAAAUGGCGUCAUUUCACCAAAUAAAACACGAAUUCACGAAUAAUAAAAUAAAUGUUUGCCACGGCCUGUUAAUAUUUAUGAAGACCUCUUCAUGGAUUGGAUUUAAGCAACCUGCUGUGUAAUAUCCUCGGCAUUCUUGAUGUUGGGAAGAUCUAUAAGUCUUUUACGUUUCAUCUGAGUGUUGUGGUUUUUCAUUAUGUUAAAAAUAAGACUUUGUUAGUUCAAGUGUCUCUAUAACUAUGAAGAAGAACAAAAGAAAAUGCUUUGAGUGUGGUUCUUCGCCUGCCGAUGAUCCAGAGAAGACCCUACAGAGAUUACAGAAAUUUGAUUCUACAAAUUUAGUCUCCGUAAUGUCCAGAUAAUCAAUGAUUAGACUAUUGGACUUUUAGAAUAAAUUUUACAUUGAACUAUGAAUGGUUUGUCAUCUACAUUUUUAAAAAAGACGAGAUUUUGCCUGUAAGAACAAGAGAGAGAGAGAAUAAGAAGGUAAGUUAAACACCUACUGUAAAAUGCACACUGCUCCAAUGUGGGUUGAUAGGCUUGGGGUAAUAAAGUUAAAUUAUAAAAGGAUCACUAUCAGGUGUUAAUGAUAAUGACUGGGAUAUAUUGCAUAUCAUACUCUCUGAGAUAUAGGGAUAUAACACCAGCAACAGCUCUCCAGUGAUGCAGUAGAUAGCAUCAUUGCUCUUUGCAUCUACACGCCACAGCCAGUUGUGGCAAUUGAACUCAUCAUAUUAGUGUGAUGAGCAUGGAUGUAUUUCAGUGUCUAUGUGGUUGUGGGUGUACGCCCAUGUUAAAUAACAAGUAAUGGCCAAAAUAUUAAGUAGAUGUUGAUCAAUAAUCUUCUCUAUCUUCCAGUAAAAGUCCCAUUAAAAUGACCCUGCUGUUCCAGAGAUUAGCUCAAACAAACAGACAGAUGAACAUUUUAAAGAAGUAUGACUGUAUGUCAGUAUUGUAUAUAGGCACUUGAGAAAACACAGUUAUUUUGAAAUCACAGAAUACACUUAAAUUUUAUUUAUAUGUAUUGGUGCUGUUCAUAAAUAUAGCAUCAGCUGAAACAAACUAGGCAUAGUUAAGUUACAUUUUAUACAGGGUGCUCGGGACUAUUUCUCAUAAAUUCAAGGUGUUGACAAGUCCACUUAUAGGAGUUACCUUAGCUACUAGUUUAUAUUGAGGAGAACUUUCCACCUAGAUGGGUUGUGACUGUAUUAGGGGUCUGGUGAUGAAGACGUAGGACGGUUAAGAGAACUCCUCAACGGUUCACAGUAGCUACCAUGUGUUGAUAAAUUUGUAUUGAUGAGAACUUUCCAACUAGAUGGGUUGUGACUGUAUUAGGGGUCUGGUAAUGAAGACGAAGGACGGUUAAGGGAACUUCUCGAUGGUUCACAGUAGUAAUUAGUUUGAUUCUAAGUCAGAGGCAAUCAAAUACAAUGUUUUAUCACGACUCAUAGCAACAUACCUUUGGCGCUAGAUCAAUAUCUAGGAUGAUUUCACUAAAAAUGGAAAAAUAAAAAUUUUUAAUUAAAGAAAUUCAACCAACUUCAAAAACAUAAAACAUACUGGCUAAACUAAAAAGCGAAAAAUAAUAUUAUACUAAGUUCAUAUCAUAUUAUGUUCUAACUGAUGAUCAGUUUGAAGGCUGUGCUAAACCGGUGUUGUUUUAAUUUAAGCUGUUACUGAAAGAACUACAUGAAAUAACACUGUCUGAACAACCUAAAUAUUUAUGAUAUUCUUACAUGGCUUGAAUUAAUACAUCAUUGGGCUAGCACCACCUUCAAACUGAUCAUCAGUUAGAACAUAAUAUGAUAUAUAGAACUUAGUAUAAUGUUAUUUUUCGUUUUUUAGUUUAGUAAGUAUGUUUUUGAAGUCGGUUGACUUGUUUUUAUUAAAGUUUUUUAAUACACAUGUUCCUUAGACAUUUUAAAUUAAUUUUCCUUAUAGAACUUGGAGCUACCCUAGAGUUAUGGGAAAUACUCCCGAGCACCCUGUAGAUGCUACUUAAUCCUACUAAUCCUUCAUUCAUCAGUAUCGGUUGGUGGGCUUGGAGUUUAUAAAGAAUAUUAAGUAUAUAUAAUUUAUUUAUGAACAUUCCUCAUUCAGUUGAGCUUUUACUACCCAUAACACAAGCUAAGCUUACUUUGAGACUAGUUAGUGAUGUGUGUAAUGUGUUAUUAUAAAUAUUAACCAACUUUCUGCAGUUUGAGAAUACGCGGAUAAAAUAUAGCCUAUGAUACUCAGAAAUAACGUGGCUUUCUAGUGGUAAAAGAAUUUUCAAAAUUGGAUCCAGAGUUUACCUGCUAGAACACCACCAACUUUACCUCUUUAUAAUACAUACUAGCGGAAGCCCGCGACUUCGUCCGCGUAAAAAUCGAUGUCAACUUUCAACCCCUAUUUCACAUUCUAUUUUGCAAGUUUUAUAACUUAUACCUUGUAACUAAAAAAAUUAAGGACUUUCCGUACAAACUUUCUACCCCUACUUCACCCAAUUCUGAUUUUGUUUUCACGACAAAAAGUAUCCUAUUAUCCUUCUACGUAUUAUGGUCUCAAAUCGUCUUAAGUAUCGUUUGAAUUCAUUCUGUAGUAUCAGCGUGAUGCCCGGUCAAAAAAAAGGCAAACAGACAGACAAAAAAUAGAAAAUAUGAGCGUGGUGCGAUGACAAAGGAAAAUAGAGACUUCUAUGCUAAAAUUAUAAUCUUUGGAUCUACUGGACCGAUUUGAAACAUUGUUUUAUCAAUAGAAAGCUACGUUAUUUGCGAGUGUCAUAGGCUAUGUUUGAUUCCCAUAUUCACACAGGAACGGGAACCACGUAAUGGAAAGCGCGGGGCGUCAUGUAGCGGACUUUCUGCGUCUUUGAGAAAUUUUGUAUUAUCUCCAAAACUAAUUAACAUACUAUAAAGGGCAAAUCUUAUCUCCAUAAUAUCCUUGUGAUUAUUAAAUAAUUUAUUUUGAUAAGGAUUUAAGUUAAGUAGCAUAAAUAAUGACGCAAACCUAAGUAUAUAAAAUUUAUAAUUUUCAAAACACAAAAGGUACUAUAUCUGCUAAUAUAUAGAAGAUAGAUAUAUGGUGUCGCGGACUUUUUUGUAGAACUUUUAAAGAUACAUAAAGCCUCCAUACAUUAAUUUCAAUUUUACACAAUGGUUAAGGCAGCGCAUGCGAAUAAGUCUGCUUAAGAGGAUUUUCGGUCCGACCUGUAUGACAAAAACUGUGUUAACUCGGCGAAUAUAUAUCAUGCUAAUAUAAAAUAUAGCCUAUAGCACUCCCCGAUAAUGUAGCAUUCUACUGGUGAAAGAAUUUUUGAAAUCGGACCAGUAGUUCCGAAAAUUACCCCAUUUAAAAAAUGUGACAAACUUACAAACUUUACCUCUUUAUAAUAUUAGUAUAGAUUAACAACCCAUUUUCGGCUCAUUGUUGAGCACGAGUCACUUCUCAGGACGAGAGGGGUUAGGCCUUAGUCCUCCAUGCUGGCCCAAUGCGGAUUGGCAGACUUCACACACCUAGACAAUUAAGAAAAUUCUCAGUUAUGCAGGUUUCUUCACAAUGUUAUGCUUCACCAUUUAAGACAUUUAAUUUAAAAAUGGGUUGAAUACAUAUCAGUAUAGAUUUUUAUUGUGAGUUUCUUGAAAGAAGGAAAUGCUCAAUAUUUCAUAGACCAACCCAGGACUCAAACUCAGAAUUUCAUGAUAGUUACACUGAACCAAUAAAGUAGUUAGAGAGAGAGAUAAAUAAAAAGAGUUUAUUAUGUAUUAAAAUUAAAAUAUAUACCUAAUGCUUUCAGCAAUCCUGCUUCUUCACAUGAAUUUUACCCGCAUGACGACGGUUUUUAAUAUAAAAAAUAUUUACACAAUGUCUCAAAAAGCAAUCAAAGCUUUCAAAAAUAAACAAUGUUCGCAGAAGUUCAGUACCAACAAACUCACAAAAAAUGAGCCCAAAAUUUAGCAUUACUUGCAAGCCAGACUAAAAAAUUUCAAGAAGAUAAUUUAAAAGAAGACAAUAGAAUAAAAUAAUAUUAACACACAAUGCUUAGCAAAUAUAGCAUUAACAGAUGGAAACCAGGCAAUAGGUGUAGCAAAAUAGAAGAUGAAGGUCUAGCUGUGCCAGUCAGUGCUGAGCCACACAGUUGCUGCUGGCAUGUUUGCAAAAUAGCACAAGGUGUAGCAAAAUAGAAGAUGAAGGUCUAGCUGUGCCAGUCGGUGCUGAGCCACACAGUUGCUGCUGGCAUGUUUGCAAAAUAGCACAAGGUGCUGUAAAAUGAAGAUAUAUUGUUAAAUAUCAUGAGAUAGAAAUAAAAGAUGAAGAUCUAGCUGUACCCAUCCCGAGCCACACUACUGCAGCCACGUUGCUGCUGGCAUUUUUGCAAAAUAGCACAAGGUCACAACAAUUGAUGUAACAAAUAUAAUCAAUGGACCAGGCACCUGCACCAUGAUUCUUUGGAAUACUAAAAUUCGUCUCUUUAUGUCUGUACUUCUCAUAAUGAAAAAUGUCACGUUUUUAUGAAAGAAAUAAUGGAAUCAAAUAAUAAAUAAAAAAAGCAUAUGCUGGAAGUCCUCAGAAACAGCUCCGACUUUGAUGAUUUUUUUUAAAGUCAUGUUUUUUAUGUUAUUUAAAAUCAGAAAUGUUUUGGUGGACGAAAUUAUUUAAAUUGUUAAAAAAUAUCUAUGCUAUUUAUACAUAUUUUUUUUUUAAAUACAACCGACUUCAAAAAUACAAACUUAUGCAGAAAACUAACAAACGAAAGAAAAUAUUAUAAUAUUUUCUAUCUAUUGAUCACUUUGAAGGCGGUGCCAAUGUUCCAAUUAAUGGGCCGACAAUUAGUUAUCUAUUGUUUACUAGCUAUAGGGCUCGAAUUGCUUUUUCAUAUCUUUAAAAGACUAUCUUCGGAAUGAACCCUUUAUAAUAAAAAAGUAUUAUCAAAAUCGGACCACUCAAUAAAAAGUUAUACUUGGUUAAACAAUCAAUCAUCCCAUCAAUCAAUAAUGUAAAACCAAGAAUAACUGUUAACAUGAGUAGUCCGAUUUUGAUAAUUCUUUUGAUUGAUCAUUCUUGAUUGUUUUAGUUUAAAACCAAGCAUGUCUUGGAAUUCCGAUUUGAAUAACUUUGUUUUAAAUAGAAAGGGUAUAUUCCGACAAUGGUCCCAAAUCAUUAUAAAUUUAAAAAAAACGAAGAUGACUGGUUAUUUUCCCAUUAAUUGUAUUGUAAAAUUAUGCGUAACUUAUUACGAAGUGGUCCGAUUUCGUAAAUUAUUUAUAGAUUGUAAAGGUAUUUUGAUUGUAAAGCUCCCAUAUAAAUUUUAAAAAACAAUUCCAAUCCUAAAUGUGCGAUUGGUUGUUUUCUCAUUCAUUUUAAUGUAAAACCAAGCAUAACUUUUUAUUGGGUGGUUCUAUUUUGAUUAUUCUUUUUUUGAUAGAAAGGGUAUAUUCCUAAAAGUCUCAUAAAAUGUUGGAAAACAAUUUCAAACCUAAUAGUAGGAAAAUAGAAGAUGAUUAAUUGUUUUUCCAUUUAUUGUAAUGUUAAACUAUGCGUAACUUUUUACUGAGUGGACCGAUUUUGAAAAUUCUUUACUUUUUGUAAACGGUUUAUUUCGAAGUAGGUCCCAUAUAAAUUUCGGAAAACAAUUCGAAUCCUUAAGGUGGAAAAAAACUGUACGAUUGAUUAACCUACCCAUUAAUUGUACAAUUGGCACCGGCUUCAAAGUAAUCAGUAGAUAUAAAAUAUUAUAAUGUUUUCUUCAGCUUAUUAGUUUACUGCAUAACUUUGUGUUUUUGAAGUCGGUAGUGUUUGUUUUUUAAUUAUUUAUUAUAUAAAUAGCAUAACUAUUGUUAAAUAGUAUAAAUCGUUCCAUCCUCACUCCAAAAGGUUUCUGAUUUCAAAUAAUAUGAAGAAACAAACUGAACAAAAAAAAUCAUCAAAAUCAGAGCUGUUUCUGAGGAAGUAGAGGGUAAAUGCUCUAUUGAUUCGCCUAAAAGUAAUAUUAUGAUUUUUUAUCGCAUUAGGUUGUAAAGUUCGGCUAGUGAAAGUAGAGACUGAAAUUGCCCGCCAAAUUUAAAAAUCAUAUAAACAAAGUAAAAAAACAUGCGUUUUCAUAAUUUACUUAAAUUAGUUUUUAUUUGUGAAUACAUUAUUACCUAUACUAUAAGUGUUAAACUCAGUUAUUCCAAUAUUUGCACUAUAAUUUUGAGAAUUUACUCCGAUUUUUUAAAAUUUGGCGGGUGAUUUCAGUUUCUACUUUCAUUAGCCAAAUUCUAAUAAUUUUAUUGUUUAUGAAAUUUAUACUAAUUAGAAAGAGGAAGAAUUUGAUUAUUUGUUUGUUUGCAUUGAAUAGGCUCUGAAACUACUUUGCUGAUUUAAAAUUUUUUUACAGCAUUAUAAUCAUGGAUUAGGCCAUAAUUGUUAUCUCUGUAUUCCCACGGGAACGAGAACUACGCUGGUGAAACUGCGUGACGUUUGCAUAGUUUAUCAUAUGUACAAAUAUCCCGACAAUCUAUAUUUUUAUGUAUGAAUUGGUUAAGUUAUAAUUGACUUGAUUUUCCCAAAUAUAUCAGUGAAGUCACCCAAUUGAUGCAUAGAUAUAUUUUUAUUUUGGUUUUCAUUUUACUUACUUACUAAAAUUUAGUUUUAGAAGCAAAAUGAAUAUAUGUAGAUUACAUUUUAGGUGCUGAUGUUUACUUGGUUAUUGAUUAAGUGCAUAAGAUUUUUUGUUUGAUAAUAAAGACAUUUCAACUUGAAACUGUUA